CGGAGGGUGCAAGCGUUAUCCGGAUUCACUGGGUUUAAAGGGUGCGUAGGCGGGCAGGUAAGUCAGUGGUGAAAUCUCCGGGCUUAACCCGGAAACUGCCGUUGAUACUAUCUGUCUUGAAUAUCGUGGAGGUAAGCGGAAUAUGUCAUGUAGCGGUGAAAUGCUUAGAUAUGACAUAGAACACCGAUUGCGAAGGCAGCUUACUACACGAUCAUUGACGCUGAGGCACGAAAGCGUGGGGAGCAAACAGGAUUAGAUACCCUGGUAGUCCACGCCCUAAACGAUGGAUACUCGACAUCAGCGAUACACUGUUGGUGUCUGAGCGAAAGCAUUAAGUAUCCCACCUGGGAAGUACGACCGCAAGGUUG
rnacentral:rRNA from 1 species